rnacentral:lncRNA from 1 species
UAUACAAGCCAUUCACUGCCUCAAAGCAAUGGUUUUGAGUUCUUAUCCCAUUUGGGACCAAAUAUCAACAAGUCUUUCUUCUCACUUCUAAACAUUCUUGAUGUAUCUCUAGCACUUGUAAUCAAUCAAAUUCAUUGUAUUAUAACAUAUUCUAACCCAAAAUAACUUUAUACAAGCCAUUCAUUGCCUCAAAGCAAUGGUUUUGGGUUCUUAUCCCAU